UACGUAGGGGGCAAGCGUUGUCCGGAAUCAUUGGGCGUAAAGAGCGUGUAGGCGGCCCGAUAAGUCCGCCGUGAAAGUCCAGGGCUCAACCCUGGAAUGCCGGUGGAAACUGUCGGGCUGGAGUCCGGAAGAGGCGAGUGGAAUUCCUGGUGUAGCGGUGAAAUGCGCAGAUAUCAGGAGGAACACCAAUGGCGAAGGCAGCUCGCUGGGACGGUACUGACGCUGAGAACGCGAAAGCGUGGGGAGCAAACAGG
rnacentral:rRNA from 1 species